GAUGAACGCUGGCGGCGUGCCUAAUACAUGCAAGUCGAGCGAACGGAUAAGGAGCUUGCUCCUUUGAAGUUAGCGGCGGACGGGUGAGUAACACGUGGGUAACCUACCUAUAAGACUGGAAUAACUUCGGGAAACCGGAGCUAAUGCCGGAUAACAUUUGGAACUGCAUGGUUCUAAAGUAAAAGAUGGUUUUGCUAUCACUUAUAGAUGGACCCGCGCCGUAUUAGCUAGUUGGUAAGGUAACGGCUUACCAAGGCAACGAUACGUAGCCGAACUGAGAGGGUGCUCGGCCACACUGGAACUGAGACCCGGUCCAGACUCCUACGGGAGGCAGCAGUAGGGAAUCUUCCGCAAUGGACGAAAGUCUGACGGAGCAACGCCGCGUGAGUGAUGAAGGUUUUCGGAUCGUAAAACUCUGUUAUUAGGGAAGAACAAAUGUGUAAGUAACUGUGCACAUCUUGACGGUACCUAAUCAGAAAGCCACGGCUAACUACGUGCCAGCCGCCGCUGUAA
rnacentral:rRNA from 1 species